GACGAACGCUGGCGGCGUGCUUAACACAUGCAAGUCGAACGGAAAGGCCCUGCUUUUGUGGGGUGCUCGAGUGGCGAACGGGUGAGUAACACGUGAGUAACCUGCCCUUGACUUUGGGAUAACUUCAGGAAACUGGGGCUAAUACCGGAUAGGAGCUCCUGCUGCAUGGUGGGGGUUGGAAAGUGUCGGCGGUUGGGGAUGGACUCGCGGCUUAUCAGCUGGUUGGUGGGGUAGUGGCUUACCAAGGCGUUGACGGGUAGCCGGCCUGAGAGGGUGACCGGCCACAGUGGGACUGAGAUACGGCCCAGACUCCUACGGGAGGCAGCAGUGGGGAAUAUUGCACGAUGGGCGGAAGCCUGAUGCAGCAACGCCGCGUGCGGGAUGACGGCCUUCGGGUUGUAAACCGCUUUCGCCUGUGACGAAGCGUGAGUGACGGUAAUGGGUAAAGAAGCACCGGCUAACUACGUG
rnacentral:rRNA from 1 species